AGCUAAAAGACCGCUCAUUGAAUUUUAUGUCCAAACCAUAUUGUUUCUAGUGUAUUAUUUUUGGGUUCAACGUACUCGACGCUCGCUAAUGCUCUCGCACCGAAAUGGUACAUGGGAGUUUAAAAACGAAAAGGCGCUUUGAACAACGGCUGUCUUAAUACUUCAAACAGAAGCACUACCGAAUUGAAAUGCGCCUUGUAUUACCACUAGCAAUUUUCGAGUGGUAAGAUUCAUAGCUUGAAACACAAAUCUCGUGCACAUUACAGCCUCCACCAAUUGAAGCUAAGAAAAAAAUCUGCUUUAUUUAAUUUAGUUAUUUUAUUGACAACAUCAUCCUUAGUCUACAGACAUGUACUGCUGGAUAUAGACGUGCUAGCCACGUCCAGAAGAUUCCCGGAAACUUCAACUUUUGGCUAGGAGGUGCUGUUUAUUAAUGAAGAGAUUUAAAUUUACUGUUAUGAAUCGUAGCUUUAAGUGUUUAAGACGCUACCUCUGGAUGAUUGAUCAAAUAAGCUUCUUGUUCCAGUUGAAUUGUCUUUCCUAGUCUCCUGAUACAGUCGCUCUGGCAGGCAGUAAUAGCAUUUACGUUUUGAUGGAACAAGCCACGAGCAGGCAAUCGGUCCGUAUUUUGACCCUUCAUAACACGUUUGAAAGACAUUUUUGAACCAAAAUUGGAGGAGAUUUCGCAACGUUUUUUUCCAGUGGAA